rnacentral:antisense_RNA from 1 species
GACGCCAUCAGCACUGCCACUCUGCCCCUGCCCCAUCCCCUACCCUGUUGUGCUGGCCCGCGUGGGCUUUGGUGCCAGCUCUGCUCAGCCAUGGACCCUCGACUUCUCUGAACCUCAGUCUCCUCUUGUAGCAAACGGGCUCAUCACAGCCAGGCCUGGCAUUGAGCCAUGGUUGCUAGGACUGUCCACCUAGAGGGCCCAGCCAGGCCUUUUGGGUCAUGCCUCUGCCCCUCAAGGCUGAUGGAGAUGGCGUUUUCAGGGAGGAUGGAUGGGGUAACGUGAGGAAACUGAGGCUCGGGAGUACAGAGCCUGCCCCAACUGCUGCAUGACCUUGGGUCAACCCUGCCCCUCUCUGAGGCCUUUAGCAGGUAGAGAAUGGGCCAGAGCAGCUCCGAGUGCCCUGCAGCUCUGCUCUUGGAUUGUUCCAAGCCUCAUUCCCUCCACAUUCCUGACUCCUGUGUGGCUAUGGGCCAAGCAGUCUUUCCUUGAGCCUCUGACAUCCGAUUCUGUGUCAUGGGGUUAUCAGCCCUGCCUUCUUGGUCCUGGGCUGGGAGUGGAGGCUCCAUCCUGGCCUGGAUGGGGUGGCAAAGAGGUAGGUGCCCCCAUCCCUCACCCCUGCCUCUGCCACCAGUGUUGGGACUCUUCUGCCUGGUGUGGGCCUGGGCCUGGGGGGAACUGAUGGAGAGGCUAGAGGGGGCGUCCUGCAGGGAGAGGCCUCAAGGAAGGCAAGGCCAGCACCCACCCUCAAAGGGCCUCUGUCCUACCCAGGAGGCUCCAUCCUUCCAGCAAGGUCAGCCAAUAACUGUGGGGAUGGAGUGGAGCCGUGAGUGGGGGCAGAGGCCUAGACUCCCACCCCACAGGGCGGUCCCGGGCAAGGGCUCUCCAUCUGCAAAGUGCAGCUCUGGCCCCUGCUCUAGGCUGCUAUGGCUCUGGGAAGCCCUCCUCCUGCCCCUUCUGGGCCGCUUUCUCUGGGGUCCCCCUUGCCAUGUGCUAUGUGCCCAGGCCGUUUCUCAGGGCUGCCCGCUGUGCCCUACUGUGACCUCAGCCACUAGAACAAACCCGAGAGACCUGGAGGGAGCUCACCAGACAGGUCAGGGGUGAUGAUGUUCAAGCGCAUGAAGACAGUCCUAUGGACUUCCUGGAGGAGAGAGAGAGAGCAGUAUGUGGCACCUUUGGGAGGCGGCUUCCAGGUUUACUCCCUGGCUCCGUGACCCCAGCCCACCCUAGGGCCUUGGCUUUGAAUCCCAUCUCCACCGCUUCGUAGCUGGAUGCCUCUGGGUCUCCUGUUCUUUGAGAUUACACUGGUGACCAUACUACGUGGAUGUGCGGGUGGCUAGAUUCCUGGGUGGGAGGGUGGAUGGAUGGAUGGACGGACGGGCCCCAAGUCCAGGUGGCAGCUGUCUAACUGGAGCAGGAACUCGGAGAUGGAUGGGGACACUCUGACCUGCAUGGGUAGGCUGUCUCCCUCCUGACUCUGGGAGUCUCAUCUCCUCUGGAGUCACGGUGGGAAGAAAGGCGGAGAGGAAGUUCCAGGAGCUGGGAGGCCUGAGGGGUGACAGGCAUGCCAGGCAGAGGCAGGCAGAUCACAGGAGGCCAGAAGUUCGAGACCUGCCUAGCCAACAUAGUGAAACCCGACUCUACUAAAAUUAUAAAAAUUAGCCAGGUGUGGUGGCAGACACCCAUAGUCCCAGCUACUGGGAAGGCUGAGGCACAAGAAUCGCUUGAACCCGGGAGGAGGAGGCUGCAGUGAGCCGAGAUCGCAUCAUUGCACUCCAGCCUUGGUGACAGAGAGACCUCGUCUCUAAAACAAGAAAAAGAAGGCCGGUUGCAGUGGCUCACGCCUGUAAUCCCCGCACUUUGGGAGGCUGAGUCUGGAGACAGCGAAGAGGUUGAGGUGUUCUCGUAAAUCAGCGGUGAAAAUUCAAAUCAUCUUUGGGAAAGUGGGUUGGCAACAUGUAUUGAAACUUCAUUCAUUUUGACCCAGUAAUUCCACUAAUGUGGAAAUCUAUCCUGAGAAAAUAAUCCUAUAUAAAGAAAUGUUUCAUGCACAAUG